rnacentral:rRNA from 1 species
AACUUUUAACAACGGAUCUCUAGGCUCUCGUAUCGAUGAAGAACGUAGCAAAUUGCGAUAACUAUUGUGAAUUGCAUUUCGUGAAUCAUCAAGUUUUUGAACGCAUCUUGCACUCUGUGGUAUUCCGCAGAGUACACUUGUUUCAGUA